UUCAUCGGGAUUACUUGGAUACAGUGA
rnacentral:piRNA from 1 species